CAUCACCCCUUUCCUUUUUACACAAAACCCUUGUUGUUUGGAUGAGUAUUGUAAAGAAUAGGUUGCGAAACAUGCAAACGUUUCUUAUUUUCAAAAAAUAUAUUUUUCUCUAUAUGAGUAUAUAACCAAACCAAAAGGUCUUGCGCGCAACAUGUGUACGUUAAUAUUAACGUACACCAGACCUCACACGUGCGAAUUUUUUUGAAACUGUCGCAUUUCACAAAGUUUGACUUACACCUGCCAAAAUAAGAAGAGAGAGAAAAAUUAAAAAAAAAAAACCCAAAACCAGAGGAGAGAGAAAACUUGAUAGAAUUUGCAAAUUCAAUCCCGAAUUUCCGAUCGCACUGGAAGAAGAUUGAAGAAGAUUUGAAGGCUUCCAAAAGGCGAUAAGAUUGAAGAAGAGAACGAGAUUGAAGAAGGUUUGCUAACGAAAUUGCGAUCGGAUUCAAAAAGUGAUAAAAUUCUGCAAAUUCGAGCUUCAAUUUCCCUCAUGCGAUUGAUCUUCACUCCAAUUCGCAGAGGAUCAUCGGGUAGGUAUCAGCUUCAUUGCACAUUCUGGAAUUUCAGUAGCGAGCCUGCUAUACUAAGUUAAGGGAAUCACUAUUUCUCCUGUAGCGAGCCAGUUGUGAGUGUUAUGGCUCUAGAAGGGGAAGACCGGCCUGCACUGUGUAUUCACUCCAAUUUGUUGGGCAAAUCUCCUUUGGCAGCUAGAGUCAUAAACUGACUCUCAUUAUCUUCAAGGCUUUGAGCAUUUGGGAUCAAUUUUUUGUAUUCCCCGGCAUAAUAGGUUUCCCUUGCAAAUAGAUAAUGCACAAAAAAGUAAGCUGCGUAGAGUAUCCAAAUGCAGUAGGCUAGCUCAAAUUCAUUGUUUUCAAGCUCUUUGCAACACAACCAGACAUCCAUGAUACAAUACUAAGAUUAGUCAAUUGGCUGACAUCCCCAUUUCUCAUUCAAACAAUCAUUCCAAUCCAGUACUCCCAACAACAGGAGCACUGACAGCUCAAGCAUAGUAGCAACAACACUUGACAACCCAAUCUUUUUAUUGCUAUAUAUGUUCUACAUUGUGUGGUUUUUUUAUUUAUUAUUAAGCCUAUUAGCACUGGCCGAGCACCGUGCAACUUGUGCGGAGAUGUAGGUUCAAAUCCUACAUAGGCGAUUGAUUUUAUUAUGAAACUUCAGAAGUUAAAGUUAGGCUUUUUGAGUUAAAAAAAUGUAAAAGUUAGCAUUUUUGAAUUAAAAGUUAGCUUUAAGCCGUAAAAGUUAGGUGAACUUAUAUGAUACUUUUCUUAACUUUUACUACACCAGAGCUAACUUUUAUAUUGAUAUUCUUAACUUUUACGGAGUAAUUGAUAUUCCUAAUUUUUCAAUUAAGUGAAACCUCAGAAGUUAAAAGUUAGUCUUUUUGAGUAAAAAAAGUUAAAGUUAGCAUUUUUGAAUCAAAAGUUAGCCUUCAAGCAGUAAAAGUUAGAUGAACUUUAUGAGACUUUUCUUAACUUUUACUACACCAGAGCUAACUUUUAUAUUGAUAUUCUUAACUUUUACGGAGUAAUUGAUAUUCCUAAUUUUUCAAUUAAGUGAAACCUCAGAAGUUAAAAGUUAGUCUUUUUGAGUAAAAAAAGUUAAAGUUAGCAUUUUUGAAUCAAAAGUUAGCCUUCAAGCAGUAAAAGUUAGAUGAACUUAUAUGAUACUUUUCUUAACUUUUACUACACCAGAGCUAACUUUUAUAUGGAUAUUCUUAACUUUUACGGAGUAAUUGAUAUUCCUAAUUUUUCAAUUAAGUGAAACCUCGGAUGUUAAAGUCUUUUUGAGUAAAAAAAGUUAAAGUUAGCAUUUUUGAAUUAAAAGUUAGCUUUAAGCCGUAAAAGUUAGGUGAACUUAUAUGAUACUUUUCUUAACUUUUACUACACCAGAACUAACUUUUAUAUUGAUAUUCUUAACUUUUACGGAGUAAUUGAUAUUCCUAAUUUUUCAAUUAAGUGAAACCUCAGAAGUUAAAAGUUAGCAUUUUUGAAUCAAAAGUUAGCCUUCAACCAGUAAAAGUUAGAUGAACUUAUAUGAGACUUUUCUUAACUUUUCACUUAAGUGAAACCUCAGAAGUUAAAGUUAAAGUUAUAAAAUUUCCAUAACUUUAACCUAUAAAAUUACAACUUUAACACAGAAAAUUACAAUGUGUGAAAAUAAAAAUAAUGCAUGACUCACAUUAGCUGAAGAAAGGUAAAAAUAUAAAAGUCAGACAAAAGCAGUUAAAGUUAAGUUCUUAAAAGUAAAAGUUAUUAAUUUUGAGAUGACGGAAGACUGCCUUAACUUUUAGAACAAUUUCCAUAACUUUAACCUACAAAACUACAAAUUUAACACAUAAAAGUACAAUGUGUGAAAUAAAGAGAAUGCACGACUCACAUUAAUGAUGGAAGACUGCCUUAACUUUUAGAACAAUUUCCAUAACUUUAACCUAUAAAACUACAAAUUUAACACAUAAAAGUACAAUGUGUGAAAUAAAAAGAAUGCACGACUCACAUUAGUUGAAGAAAGGUAGAAAUAUAAAAGUCAGACUUUUAGCAGUUAAAGUUAAGUUAUUAAAAGUAAAAGUUAGGCUUGAGUCGACGGAAGACUGUCUUAACUUUUAGAACAAUUUCCAUAACUUUAACCAACAUAACCACAACUUUAACACAAAAAAUUACAAGGUGUGGAAUAAAACAGAUUGCAUGACUCACAUUAGCCGAAGAAAGGUAGAAAUAUAAAAGUCAGACUUUUAGUAGUUAAAGUUAAAUUAAUAAAAGUAAAAGUUAGGUUUGAGACGACUAAAAACUGUCUUAACUUUUAGAACAAUUUCCAUAUAUUUAACCUACAUAACCACAACUUUAACACAUAAAAUUACAAUGUGUGAAAUAAAAAUAAUGCACGACUCACAUUAGCUGAAGAAAGGUAAAAAUAUAAAAGUCAGACUUUUAGCAGUUAAAGUUAAGUUAUUAAAAGUAAAAGUUAGGCUUUAACUUUUCUUUAACUUUUAGUCUUUUACUACAUCAACUUUUAUGUUGAUAUUCCUAACUCUUCACAUAAGUGUAACCCCAGAAGUUAAAGUUAGUCUUAUUGAGUGAAAAAAUUAAAGUUAAGCUUCAUGUAGUAAUAGUUACGUAAAUUGAUAUAACUUUUUUUCUUAACUUUACUACACUAGGGCUAACUUUUAUGUUGAUAUUCCUAACUUUUCACUUAUGUGUAACCUCAUAACCUAGUUCGCAACUUGCAAGCAUGUAUAGGCUAUGCGGGAUUUGAACCCACACCAUGUACAUAAUUUUGCACAUCGCUCUGCCAUUUGAGCUAAUAGCCUUUUGUAGUAGGACUGGAAAAAGCAAUAGAAUCAAACGAGGAAUCUGGUGGAUCUUCUUACUCAAUAGGAGUGGGACUGAAGGCAAUGUUUGAUCAUCCCAGAACACAGUAUAUCAGCAGCAGGGCUGCAGUAUUCACAGUUUGGCAUUUUAUUGACAUCAUAAAAAAUGAUAGGAGUACUUAAAACUAUUAGGAGUAACUAACCCUGCCCUAAAAGCAAUAGCACCAUUAUUAGUUUGGCACAUUGUUGGUUGGACAGACCCUAAGAAUGGGAGGGGAGACGCAUAGGGAAUCCACACCAAUCCAUAAGCCAAUCAAUAUCACCAUCAUCAGUCAAACAAAAUCACCAUCAUCACUCAAACAAAAGUUAUGAUCAAGCAUAACUUACCCUCCUACACUUACGCCUAAAAAGAAAAGGAAGCUAUAUUUUGGUAUUCUAAUCAGGAGGACCCUUUUUGUGCUAUAGUGUAUCAAGCAUUAGCAAUUGAAUGGUAUAAAUUCAAUGAAACUUAUUUGUUGUAUACAAGACAUUUUUGUUGGUUUACAGAGGGCUGUAAGGUGGAAUGAAAUUGAUAACAUUUUAAGGGUUGCUUGCUUGUUGCUUCUAUAAAAUUACUGUGGUGAUUAAACCUCUUCUACCAUACCAUCCUGCCCAGCACACACAAAAUCGCAACAACACAAAUACAGAAAAACAAAAUCUCAACAUAAUUCGCAGAAUAAAUACUAAAAAUCGCAACAAUUGACAAAACCUAAUAGAAAACCUAAAUCAAAACAAAACAUUGAAAAUUAUUGACGAUGAAGAACAAAAAAUAAACGCACUAGAAAACCUAAAUCAAAGCUAAAAUAUGAAAACCUAAAUAUCAACAAACCAAAAGACGAAAAAAAACCUUGAAGAACAACGGAGGAGAACGCAGCAAAGUCGCAGCAGAGAUAUUCGUAGAUCGAUCGAGGCAGAAGAGAUUAGCAACAGAAGGUGGAAGAAAUGGCAAGAGAAAUCGCAACCAGAAAAAUCGCCGCCAGAGAAGAAAGGGAAGAGAGAGAAGAACACUUGAGAGGAGAAAGAUAGAGCAAAUGAGAGUUAUUUCACAGUAUACCCUUGAUUUCACACGUGUGAACUAAGUGGGUUUGUCUGAAAUGGGCUUGGUGUACAAUAAAUUACUGUACACCCUUUGUAAAUAAGAUUUUGUGUAACCAAACAAUCAUUCAAAAAGUGGCCUUGUCGAAUAUAUUGUACCACUUUUUGAAUGAUUGUUUGUUAUAUACUCAUAUAGAGAAAAAUAUCUUUUUUGAAAAUAAUGAAGAAAACAUUCUGAAUCGGUUCCGGUUCCAAAGUA